UACAGAGGUGGCAAGCGUUGUUCGGAAUUACUGGGCGUAAAGGGCGCGUAGGCGGUCUUGCAAGUCCUGUGUGAAAUCCCUCGGCUCAACUGAGGAACUGAACAGGAAACUGCUUGGCUUGAGUUCGGGAGAGGGAAGCGGAAUUCCGGGUGUAGCGGUGAAAUGCGUAGAUAUCCGGAGGAACACCGGUGGCGAAGGCGGCUUCCUGGACCGACACUGACGCUGAGGCGCGAAAGCUAGGGGAGCAAACGGG
rnacentral:rRNA from 1 species